rnacentral:rRNA from 1 species
UACGGGAGGCAGCAGUGGGGAAUAUUGCACAAUGGGCGAAAGCCUGAUGCAGCUAUGCCGCGUGUAUGAAGAAGGCCUUAGGGUUGUAAAGUACUUUCAUCGGGGAGGAAAAACAAAACUAAUAAUUUUAUUUCUUGACGUUACCCGAAAAAGAAGCACCGGCUAACUCCGUGCCAGCAGCCGCGGUAAUACGGAGGGUGCUAGCGUUAAUCAGAAUUACUGGGCGUAAAGAGCACGUAGGUGGUUUUUUUAAGUCAGAUGUGAAAUCCCUGGGCUUAACCUGGAACUGCAUUUUGAAACUGAAAUACUAGAGUAUCGUAGAGGGAGGUAGAAUUCUAGGUGUAGCGGUGAAAUGCGUAGAUAUCUGGAGGAAUACCUGUGGCGAAAGCGGCCUCCUAAACGAAUACUGACACUGAGGUGCGAAAGCGUGGGGAGCGAAACAGGGAUUAGACUACC